rnacentral:rRNA from 1 species
ACGGAAGGCAGCAGUGGGGAAUAUUGGGCAAUGGGGGAAACCCUGACCCAGCAACGCCGCGUGAAGGAAGAAGGCCUUCGGGUUGUAAACUUCUUUUACCAGGGACGAUAAUGACGGUACCUGGAGAAAAAGCAACGGCUAACUACGUGCCAGCAGCCGCGGUAAUACGUGGGUUGCAAGCGUUGUCCGGAUUUACUGGGUGUAAAGGGCGUGUAGGCGGCGCUGCAAGUCAGAUGUGAAAUCCCGGGGCUCAACCCCGGAAAUGCAUUUGAAACUGUAAACCUUGAGUAUCGGAGAGGCAAGCGGAAUUCCUAGUGUAGCGGUGAAAUGCGUAGAUAUUAGGAGGAACACCAGUGGCGAAGGCGGCUUGCUGGACGACAACUGACGCUGAGGCGCGAAAGCGUGGGGAGCAAACAGGAUUAGAUACCCUGGUA